CCUCAAUUAGAAUAAAUUAUAAUGUAUUUCUAUCAGCAUGGGCUGUUUAAUUUGAAAGCAGGAAAUCAGUAAUCCAGACGUUACAACUUAACUAAAGUGAUGUUCGUACACGAAAUACUUAAUGUGU